CCUACGGGGGGCAGCAGUGGGGAAUAUUGCGCAAUGGACGAAAGUCUGACGCAGCGACGCCGCGUGAGGGAUGAAGGUUUUCGGAUCGUAAACCUCUGUCAGGAGGGAAGAAAGCGCAUGGUGCCAAUCAGCCAUGCGUUGACGGUACCUCCAUAGGAAGUGCCGGCUAACUCCGUGCCAGCAGCCGCGGUAAUACGGAGGGCGCAAGCGUUGAUCGGAAUUACUGGGCGUAAAGCGCGCGUAGGCUGUUGUGUAAGUUGGGUGUGAAAUCCCACGGCUCAACCGUGGAAUUGCCGUUGAUACUGGUCGACUUGAGUCCGGGAGAGGGUGGCGGAAUUCCAGGUGUAGGAGUGAAAUCCGUAGAUAUCUGGAAGAACAUCAGUGGCGAAGGCGGCCACCUGGACCGGUAUUGACGCUGAGGCGCGAAAGCGUGGGGAGCGAACAGGAUUAGAUACCCCUGUAGUC
rnacentral:rRNA from 1 species